rnacentral:rRNA from 1 species
GUCCGCUUGUCAUUAUAAGCGGUCUAACCUGCCCACUGAGAUGUUUAAAGGCCGCAGAAUUUUAACUGUGCAAAGGUAGCAUAAUCAUUAGUCUUUUAAUUUUAGGCUCGUAUGAAUGGUUGGACAAGAGGAAAACCGUCUCAAUCUUCAAUAUUAAACUUAACCACUAAGUGAAAAGGCUUAGAUAAUUUAGGGGGACGAAAAGACCCUGUAAAACUUUACAUUUUCUAGAUUUUCAGUCAAUUAUUUGUAUAUAUUUUUCUUUCUACUUCGUGUUUCGUUGGGGCGACGAAAGCAUAAUCAAUUAACUGCUUUAAAUUUAUACAAAUAUAUUUGAUAUUUUAUCCUUUAUUAAGAAUUUAAAAAAGUUACUUCAGGGAUAACAGCGUUAUUUUUUUUUAGAGUCCUAAUCAACAAAAAAGUUUACGACCUCGAUGUUGAAUUAAAAUCCCAUUUUAGUGCAGCAGCUAAUAAAGUAGGUCUGUUCGACCUUUAAAUUUUUACAUGAUUUGAGUUCAAACCGGUGUGAG